rnacentral:lncRNA from 1 species
GGGUAACCUUCUCAUACUAGGAGUAAAAGAAUUGACAUACUAGGAGUAAAAGAAUUGACUCUUAACUGACCUAUUACAUAAGAAAGAUCUCUAUCUUGAGAUAUCCUCCCACAUUAGAUUCUCAGAAAUAAAAGAAGUUUCAAAAUCCUCUUAUGUAACUCACACAUCUGAUUCUGGUCCAUCUAUUUCUUCUUCUUCUUACCCUUGG